AGUGAACGCUGGCGGUGGGCCUAACACAUGCAAGUCGAGCGGCCACACAGUGAGCGCUUGCUCUUACGGGUGGCGACUGGCGGGCGGGUGAGGCAUGGAUCGGCAUCUUCUUUUUCGUGGGGGACAACGUGGGAAAAGAUCCGCUACUACAGCAUAUGUUCUACGGGUGAGAGCAGGAGUUCUUGGCGCCUUUCCUGUUUGAUUUAGCUGAGGCCGGAUUAGCUAGUUGGCUGGGUAAGGGCCCACCAAGGCAACGAUGCGUAGCUGACCUGAGAGGAUGAUCAGCCACACUGGAACUGAGACACGGUCCAGACUCCUACGGGAGGCAGCAGUAGGGAAUAUUCGACAAUGGGCGCAAGCCUGAUCCAGCAAUACCGCGUGAGUGAAGAAGGCCUUCGGGUUGUAAAGCUCUGUUGUUAGGAAAGAAAAGCAGCAUAAGAAAACACCGCUGUCCUGACGGUACCCAAAGAAUAAGCACCGGCUAACUUCGUG
rnacentral:rRNA from 1 species